AUGGGCGAAAGCCUGAUCCAGCAACGCCGCGUGAGGGAUGACGGCCUUCGGGUUGUAAACCUCUUUCAGGAGGGACGAAGCCACUCGGGUUAAUAGCCCAGAGGGUGACGGUACCUUCAGAAGAAGCCCCGGCUAACUACGUGCCAGCAGCCGCGGUAAUAC
rnacentral:rRNA from 1 species